UACGGGGGGAGCAAGCGUUGUUCGGAUUUACUGGGCGUAAAGGGCGCGUAGGCGGCGCAACAAGUCACUUGUGAAAUCUCCGGGCUUAACUCGGAACGGUCAAGUGAUACUGUUGUGCUAGAGUGCGGAAGGGGCAACUGGAAUUCUCGGUGUAGCGGUGAAAUGCGCAGAUAUCAGGAAGAACACCCGUGGCGAAGGCGGCUCUCUGGGACGGUACUGACGCUGAGACGCGAAAGCGUGGGGAGCGAACAGG
rnacentral:rRNA from 1 species